rnacentral:rRNA from 1 species
UACAGAGGGGGCAAGCGUUGUUCGGAAUUACUGGGCGUAAAGGGCGCGUAGGCGGCCUUCUAAGUCGAACGUGAAAUCCCUGGGCUCAACCCAGGAACUGCGUCCGAUACUGGAAGGCUUGAAUCCGGGAGAGGGAUGCGGAAUUCCAGGUGUAGCGGUGAAAUGUGUAGAUAUCUGGAGGAACACCGGUGGCGAAGGCGGCAUCCUGGACCGGUAUUGACGCUGAGGCGCGAAAGCCAGGGGAGCAAACGGG